CGCCGUGGCCGCCUCCUCUGGGCACGCGGGCAGACCCACCCCAGCGGCCGCCACCAGCCCACCCUACGUCACGGCCGGGAACGUGGGCUCGGACCCCUACUCCCAACUCACCUCCAGGCCGGAAGCAGGAAGGCGGAAGCCGCGGCUUUCCCGUCCCGCCCACAGGCCGGCCCCAGCCCCGAGUGGGCCUGAGGAAGUCGAGGGGCCAGUUUCCGGCUGCGCCAUUGCUGUGUGGGUCCCGGGAUCUCGACUUCGAAGACUGGCGGGGACGGGGAGGGCGGGGGAGAGCGGCGCCCGGCUUCCUGGGGAGCCGCAGGUGAGGCCGCGCCCGUGUGCGGCGGCGCCCCGGCUGGCCUCUGGCGAGGAGCCCGAAACCGGCGCUUCCUGCCGGGACGAAGGGGCCAGCGUGGAGGCGCGGGUGGACUCAGGUCUCCGGGAGCCGGUCCGGAACCCUGCGGGCCCUCUGCCUUUACCCCCGAUGUAAGCCAGGAGACAGCCCCCCUGCCCUGCUGGAGCGAGACCGUUGAUGGAGGGCCCCGAUGGGUGAUGUAUGUAGCCCCUGGAAACAGACUAAAGAGCGGCGGCAAGAAAGGAGUUGGUCUCCACAAACCGCCCGAAGUCAAGGAAGAUUUUGGAUAAAUCAUUAUCAAGGAAGCUAAGGACACCUGUGUUGUACUGAAAGCACACCAGCCAUGAAAUCGGAAGGCCCAAAUUUGAAUUCCAGUUAUUCACAAAUGUAAGCAACUUCCCCUGACCUUCUCAGCUCCCAGACUGCUGGCUGUCAACCAACAUGCAGCUGGCAGAAAAAUAGAAAUCUUCUCUGGGGGAGAGAAAAGAACUAAGAUCCUGACAUCAGGAAGUCCCCAAGGAAUAGAACUAAGAUCUUGACAUUAAGAAUCUCCCAAGGAAUAGGCCCAGCUCGAUUGCCCUGUAAUGAAGACUACAGUAAACAAGCUACACAUACAUGCACAGAGUUACUAAUCUGCUUUCUGGUGGACAGCUUUUGGUUUGAGCAAACAGCCAGGGAAUACCCAAAGAACAAGGAAAACCUUUGCUGUGAGUGUGUGAAAUGUUGAGAAAAUAAGAGAAGUUGUUACAUUCAUAAAAGAAGAACAAGUUGUUAUGUUUAAAAAAAAAAUCAGAGUACAAAGAAACAAGCAUUUGGAAAUGAAGAUAGCAGAUAUGAAGGAAGUUUAGAUGAACUAAAGGAUCAAUACAGAAGAUAGAAUUUAAGAUUUAUGUCAGAAAGUACAAUAAAAAGACAAAGAUACAGAAAGUAGGAGAGAAAAAAUAAGAAAAUAAGACAACCAAUCCAAAAGUUUCAAUACCUAAAAAAUAGGGUUUCCAGAAAGAGGACACAGAGAAAAUGGAGGGCAGGAAAUUAUAGAAAGUAAUUCGAGAAAAUUUCUUAAAACUGGGCAUGCUUGCCCAGCACAGCGGUCUAAAAUAGACCCACAUUGUAUCCUAUCAUGGCAUUUCAAAUCACUGGGGAAAAAGAGAAAAUCCUACAAUCUCCAGAGGGGUGGGGAAGGGAGGUUUCAUACCAGAAUCAAGAAUCAGAAUGGCACCAGCUCCUCCAAAUAUAACAGUAGAAGCUGUAAGACAAUGGAACAGAGCCUUCAAACUUCUGGAGGGAAAUCAUUUCCAAUUUCAGUUCCAUUCCCAUCCAAAAGUGUGAGGGCAGAAUGAAGAUCUCUAAAAAUCUAUCUCCCUUGCACCCCUUCUCAGGAAGCUACAGGGGGAUAUGUUCCACCAAAACAAGGAAGUGAAGUGAGAAAGAGUAAGACCUAGGAUCCAAGAAACAGAGAAAAGGAGAGUCUGUAGGAUGGAUUGAUUGGAGACCUCAAGGUGACAGCUGUGCCUAGAAAGCAACAUGUCCAGGAUGGAACAUGUCACAAGUUUCCAGGAAGGAAUUCUUCAGGAAGUUGAAAUUGUUGGAUUACCUAAUUUGAAAAUCUCAAGAGAAAAGCUGGACACUUUGGGAAGGAUUUGGAUUAAAUUAGCAACAAGCCCAUCAAGAAGUAAGCAAAUCUAUAAAAAGACCAUUGUUAAAUUAAGAGAGAACUAAAAAGUUGUUCAGGGCUUAUUAAAAUUAAGAAUUUGUACUGAUCAAAAGCAAGUGAAAAAAAUAGAAUCUUAAGAUAUUCAUAAUAUACAUAAGUGACAAAUAAUACCAAGAAUAUAUAAUGAAUUCCUAAAAAUUAAUAAAAAGACCACAAACAACCCAAUAAAUGUAGCCAGGAAAUCUGAAGAAGUAUUUAACAGAAGAGGAAAUUACAUAUGCCCAAUAAAUGCAAAGAGAUGGUCAGCAUUCGUGGUGAGCAAGAAAAUGCAAAUAAAGAUCACAAUGAUACAGCCAUUUCGUUGGCAAAAAUUCCAAAGACUGAUAAUACCAAAUGUUGGAUAAGAUGUAGACUCAUAAAAUCUUGUAUGUGUUGCUGGUGAGAUUAAAAAAAUAAAAAUGCUUUGGCAUUACAUUCCAAAGUUGGGGGAGAAAAAAACACACUUGUGACCCAGCAAUCUUCUUUGUUUGGUGGAAAAAGAAAGUUAAAAUAUAUAUAGUAAGAGAAAUGCACAAGAAGUUUCAUCACACCACUGUUCAGCAAAAGCCUGGAAACGACCCAAAAACCUGCCUGUCGGUGAGAGAGUGGAUGACAGUUUACAGCAAUCAAAACAAAUAAAUGUAUGAAUGAAACUUUAUCCUAAGAUUUCAUAAUAAGUGAAAAAAGUAAUGGGGCACCUGGCUGGUUCAAUCAGUAGAGCAUGUGACUCUUGA